rnacentral:rRNA from 1 species
ACUCCUACGGGAGGCAGCAGUAGGGAAUCUUCCGCAAUGGACGAAAGUCUGACGGAGCAACGCCGCGUGAGUGAUGAAGGCCUUCGGGUCGUAAAACUCUGUUGUUAGGGAAGAACAAGUACCGGAGUAACUGCCGGUACCUUGACGGUACCUAACCAGAAAGCCACGGCUAACUACGUGCCAGCAGCCGCGGUAAU